UAACUAUUCCCUCCGUUCGGAAUUACUUGUUGUCGAAAUGGAUGUAUCUAGACAUUUUUUAGUUCUAGAUACAUCCAUUUCUGCCACAAGUAAUUCGGAAAAGAGGGAGUAGCAC
rnacentral:pre_miRNA from 1 species